UACGGAGGGUGCAAGCGUUAAUCGGAAUUAUUGGGCGUAAAGCGCACGCAGGCGGUCUUUCAAGUCGUAUGUGAAAGCCCUGGGCUCAACCUGGGAACUGCAGGCGAAACUGGCAGACUAGAGUCGGGUAGAGGGUGGUAGAAUUCCAGGUGUAGCGGUGAAAUGCGUAGAGAUCUGGAGGAAUAUCGGUGGCGAAGGCAGCACCCUGGACAAAGACUGACGCUCAGGUGCGAAAGCUUGGGGAGCAAACAGG
rnacentral:rRNA from 1 species